GACUAACGCUGGCGGCGUGCUUAACACAUGCAAGUCGAACGAGGUAGCAAUACCUAGUGGCAGACGGGUGAGUAACGCGUAGGUAACGUGCCCUCUUGCGGGGGAUACCGUUCCGAAAGGAACGUUAAUACCGCAUAACGUGUCGUCGAGGCAUCUCGACGCCACCAAACUUCCGGGGUGAGAGGAGCGACCUGCGUUCUAUCAGCUAGUUGGUGAGGUAGUGGCUCACCAAGGCUACGACGGAUAACUGGUCUGAGAGGAUGAUCAGUCACACUGG
rnacentral:rRNA from 1 species